rnacentral:lncRNA from 1 species
GAAGAAUCAGAGAAUAAUCCUUAUAAGAAAAAACAGGGAUCACCGCCAGACAGACCCAAUUAACUAUUGUGAAGUAUUUUGACAUCUGGUAAUUUUUGAAAGAUACUGUUGUGGGUUGAAUUGAAUCCCCCAAAAAGAUAUGUCAAAAUCCUAACCUCGGAAUAUGACCUUAUUUGAAAGAAGGGUUGCUGCAGAUGUAAUUGAUUAAUACGAGGUCCAACUGGAGUAGGGUGAACCCUUAAUUCAACGACUGGUGCCCUUACAAGAAGAGAGGAGACACAGACACAAAAACACAAAGGAAGAAAACAGUCGUGUGACGAUGGAGGCAGAAAUUGGAGUGAUGCAUCUAGAAGCCAAGGAACACUGAAGACUACUGGAAAAUACCAGAAUCUAGAAGGAAAGACUCUCUCCCACAAGAUUCAGGAGGAGUGUGGCCCUGCCAAACCUUGAUUUUGGACUCGUAACCUCCAGAAAUGGGAGAAAAUAACUUUCUGUUGUUUUAAGCUACUCAGUUUGUGGUACUCUGUUAUGGCAGCCACAAUAAACUAAUGUAUACACUAACUACAUCAGUACACAAAAAAUGGGGAGAAAAGUGUGACAAAGAGAUGGGCAUGUGUAACCUUCAGAAAGAUGGACCUUAAAUAUGGGCAAAGCUCUUGGUAGAAACUUUGAGGCUUUCUAGGAACCUUUGCUUUUUGCUUUUGUAUUAC